rnacentral:tRNA from 1 species
GCGCCCGUAGCUCAACUGGAUAGAGCACCGGCCUUCUAAGCCGGGGGUUGCAGGUUCGAGCCCUGCCGGGCGCGCCA